rnacentral:rRNA from 1 species
UGAGAUGGACCUGCGUUGUAUUAGCUAGUGGUGAGGUAAAGGCUCACCAAGGCGACGAUACAUAGCCGACCUGAGAGGGUGAUCGGCCACACUGGGACUGAGACACGGCCCAGACUCCUACGGGAGGCAGCAGUAGGGAAUCUUCGGCAAUGGACGGAAGUCUGACCGAGCAACGCCGCGUGAGUGAAGAAGGUUUUCGGAUCGUAAAGCUCUGUUGUUAGAGAAGAACGUUGGUAGGAGUGGAAAAUCUACCAAGUGACGGUAACUAACCAGAAAGGGACGGCUAACUACGUGCCAGCAGCCGCGGUAAUACGUAGGUCCCGAGCGUUGUCCGGAUUUAUUGGGCGUAAAGCGAGCGCAGGCGGUUCUUUAAGUCUGAAGUUAAAGGGCAGUGGCUUAACCAUUGUACGCUUUGGAAACUGGAGGACUUGAGUGCAGAAGGGGAGAGUGGAUUCCCAUGUGUAGCGGUGAAAUGCGUAGAUAUAUGGAGGAACACCGUGGCGAAAGCGGCUCUCUGUCUGAACUGACGCUGAGGCUCGAAAAGCUGGGGAGCAAACAGG